AUUGAACGCUGGCGGCAGGCUUAACACAUGCAAGUCGAGCGGGGGAAGGUAGCUUGCUACUGGACCUAGCGGCGGACGGGUGAGUAAUGCUUAGGAAUCUGCCUAUUAGUGGGGGACAACAUCUCGAAAGGGAUGCUAAUACCGCAUACGUCCUACGGGAGAAAGCAGGGGAUCUUCGGACCUUGCGCUAAUAGAUGAGCCUAAGUCGGAUUAGCUAGUUGGGGGGGUAAAGGCCUACCAAGGCGACGAUCUGUAGCGGGUCUGAGAGGAUGAUCCGCCACACGGGGACUGAGACACGGCCCAGACUCCUACGGGAGGCAGCAGUGGGGAAUAUUGGACAAUGGGGGGAACCCUGAUCCAGCCAUGCCGCGUGUGUGAAGAAGGCCUUAUGGUUGUAAAGCACUUUAAGCGAGGAGGAGGCUACUCUAGUUAAUACCUAGGGAUAGUGGACGUUACUCGCAGAAUAAGCACCGGCUAACUCUGUGCCAGCAGCCGCCGUAA
rnacentral:rRNA from 1 species